AGGCCUGUAGCUCUAAUUGGCUAGAGCAGCGGACUCCAAAUCCGACAGUUGGGGGUUCGAAUCCCUCCAGGCCUGCCA
rnacentral:tRNA from 1 species